UGGGGAAUAUUGGACAAUGGGCGCAAGCCUGAUCCAGCCAUGCCGCGUGAGUGAUGAAGGCCCUAGGGUUGUAAAGCUCUUUCACCGGUGAAGAUAAUGACGGUAACCGGAGAAGAAGCCCCGGCUAACUUCGUGCCAGCAGCCGCGGUAAUACGAAGGGGGCUAGCGUUGUUCGGAUUUACUGGGCGUAAAGCGCACGUAGGCGGACUAUUAAGUCAGGGGUGAAAUCCCGGGGCUCAACCCCGGAACUGCCUUUGAUACUGGUAGUCUUGAGUUCGAGAGAGGUGAGUGGAAUUCCGAGUGUAGAGGUGAAAUUCGUAGAUAUUCGGGGGAACACCAGUGGCGAAGGCGGCUCACUGGCUCGAUACUGACGCUGAGGUGCGAAAGCGUGGGAGCAAACAGG
rnacentral:rRNA from 1 species